rnacentral:lncRNA from 1 species
GUGUGUUUCAGCCACUGGAGCUGAGAGACCCCGGCCCGGCCACCUGGCCAUGCAGACUUGACUGGCACCAUCAUUCCCAGCUCACAGCAGCAGCAGAGGCAGCUGGAUGCCCAUUCCUGCCAGCCAAUCCUUAUCCGACUGCCGGCCCGUCAGCCAGAGUCAGAGGCUGCCUUCCCCAUGGAGCAGGGACUGUCGGUGGCCUUCCCCCUCUCUCAGCCCCACGUGGAGCCUAGGCUGGUGCUGAGUUGCCUGCUCCCUGCUUGGAGGUCAACUUCCAUCCAGUGCUUCACUCUAGGACAGGUCUGCACUGAUCUCUCCCACCAUCGC